UACAGAGGUCUCAAGCGUUGUUCGGAUUCAUUGGGCGUAAUGGGUGCGUAGGCUGCGAGGUAAGUCUGGUGUGAAAUCCCGGGGCUCAACCCCGGAACUGCACUGGAUACUGCUUUGCUAGAGUACUGGAGAGGGAACUGGAAUUUACGGUGUAGCAGUGAAAUGCGUAGAUAUCGUAAGGAAGACCAGCGGCGAAGGCGAGUUCCUGGACAGUUACUGACGCUGAGGCACGAAGGCCAGGGGAGCAAACGGG
rnacentral:rRNA from 1 species